UGUAGUCAUAUGCUUGUCUCAAAGAUUAAGCCAUGCAUGUCUAAGUACAAGCCGCUAGUCGGCGAAACCGCGAAUGGCUCAAUAAAUCAGUUAUGGUUCCUUAGAUCCACUUUUUCCUACUUGGAUAACUGUGGUAAUUCUAGAGCUAAUACAUGCACUCGAGCCCCGACGUUCUGGUGUCAAAGCCGGAGUGAAAGGGCGCUUUUAUUAGAACAAAACCAGUCAGGCAGUCAAAUGUCUGUAACUUUUGGUGACUCUGGAUAACUUCCCCGCCGAUCGCAUGGCCUUCGAGCCGGCGACGCAUCUUUCAAAUGUCUGCUCUAUCACACUUUCGAUGGUAGGUUACGCGCCUACCAUGGUUGCAACGGGUAACGGGGAAUGACGAAAGGGCCUCGUG
rnacentral:rRNA from 1 species